UGACCGCGUACCUUUUGUAUAAUGGGUCAGCGACUUAUUGUCUGUAGCGAGCUUAACCGACGAGGGGAGGCGUAGCGAAAGCGAGUCUUAACAGGGCGCACAGUUGCCGGCAAUAGACCCGAAACCGGGCGAUCUACCCAUGGCCAGAGUGAAGGUUGCGUAACAGCAACUGGAGGCUCGAACCCACUUAUGUUGAAAAAUGAGGGGAUGAGCUGUGGGUCGGAGUGAAAGGCUAAUCAAGCCCGGAGAUAGCUGGUUCUCCUCGAAAGCUAUUUAGGUAGCGCCUCACGUAUCACCGCCGGGGGUAGAGCACUGUUUCGGCUAGGGGGUCAUCCCGACUUACCAACCCGAGGCAAACUCCGAAUACCGGUGAGUGCGAGCGUGGGAGACACACAGUGGGUGCUAACGUCCACUGUGGAAAGGGCAACAACCCAAACCGUCAGCUAAGGUCCCCAAAUACCGGUUCAGUGGGAAACGAAGUGGGAAGGUUCAGACAGCCAGGAGGUUGGCUUAGAAGCAGCCAUCCUUUAAAGAAAGCGUAAUAGCUCACUGGUCGAAUCGGCCUGCGCGGAAGAUGUAACGGGGCUAAACCGGUUACCGAAGCUACGGACGCAUCCGUCGGAUGCGUGGUAGAGGAGCGUCGUGUACGCCGACGAAGGUGGAUUGAGAAGUCCGCUGGAGGUAUCACGAGUGCGAAUGCUGACAUGAGUAACGAUAAAGGGCGUGAAAAACGCCCUCGCCGGAAGACCCAGGGUUUCUGUUCGACGCUAAUCGGAGCAGAGUGAGUCGGCCCCUAAGGCGAGGCCGAAAGGCGUAGUCGAUGGGAAACGGGUCAAUAUUCCCGUACCGGACUGUAUGGCGAUGGGGGAACGAAGAAGGCUAGGUGAGCCGGGCGACGGUUGUCCCGGUGAAAGUGCGUAGGCUGGAGAAUCAGGCAAAUCCGGUUCUCCCGGGCCGAGACACGAGACGAAGACACUCCGGUGUUGAAGUCAUUGAUGCCACGCUUCCGGGAAAAGCCUCUAAGCUCUACAUACAGUGCGACCGUACCCCAAACCAACACAGGUGGUCAGGGUGAGAAUCCCCAGGCGCUUGAGACAACUCGGGUGAAGGAACUAGGCAAAAUGGUGCCGUAACUUCGGGAGAAGGCACGCCGCCACGCCGUGACGCCCCUCGCGGGUCGAGCGGAAGGCGGUCGAAGAUACCAGGUGGCUGCAACUGUUUACUAAAAACACAGCACUCUGCCAACGCGCAAGCGGACGUAUAGGGUGUGACGCCUGCCCGGUGCCGGAAGGUUAAGUGAUGGCGUUAGCUCCGGCGACGCGCUUGAUCGAAGCCCCGGUAAACGGCGGCCGUAACUAUAACGGUCCUAAGGUAGCGAAAUUCCUUGUCGGGUAAGUUCCGACCUGCACGAACGGCGCAAUGACGGCCACGCUGUCUCCACCCGAGACUCAGUGAAAUUGAAAUCGCCGUGAAGAUGCGGUGUACCCGCGGCCAGACGGAAAGACCCCGUGAACCUUUACUAUAGCUUCACACUGGACGCUGAUGAUGCCUGUGUAGGAUAGCUGGGAGGCAUGGAACCCCGGUCGCCAGACCGGGGGGAGCCACCCUUGAAAUACCAGCCCGGCAUCAUGGGCGUUCUCACUCCGAUCCGUGAUCCGGAUCGAGGACCGUGUGUGGUGGGUAGUUUGACUGGGGCGGUCUCCCUCCCAAAGUGUAACGGAGGAGCACGAAGGUACCCUCAGCACGGUUGGACAUCGUGCAGUGAGUGCAAGAGCACAAGGGUGCUUGACUGCGAGACAGACACGUCGAGCAGGUGCGAAAGCAGGUUCUAGUGAUCCGGUGGUUCUGCAUGGAAGGGCCAUCGCUCAACGGAUAAAAGGUACUCCGGGGAUAACAGGCUGAUACCGCCCAAGAGUUCACAUCGACGGCGGUGUUUGGCACCUCGAUGUCGGCUCAUCACAUCCUGGGGCUGAAGUCGGUCCCAAGGGUAUGGCUGUUCGCCAUUUAAAGUGGUACGCGAGCUGGGUUUAGAACGUCGUGAGACAGUUCGGUCCCUAUCUGCCGUGGGCGCAGGAUGUUUGCGAAGGGCUGCUCCUAGUACGAGAGGACCGGAGUGGACGCACCUCUGGUGUUCCGGUUGUCACGCCAGUGGCAUUGCCGGGUAGCUAAGUGCGGACGGGAUAACCGCUGAAAGCAUCUAAGCGGGAAGCCCCCUUCAAGAUGAGACAUCCCCGAGGCCGUGAGCCUCCUGAAGGGCCCAGCAAGACGAGCUGGUUGAUAGGCCGGGUGUGGACGCGCUGCAAGGCGUUGAGCUAACCGGUACUAAUGGCCCGUGAGGCUUGCCCCU
rnacentral:rRNA from 1 species